rnacentral:rRNA from 1 species
CAUAGUGUUGCAGGCGAACGAGGGGAAGUGAAACAUCUCAGUACCCUUAGGAAAAGAAAUCAAUUGAGAUUCCCUCAGUAGCGGCGAGCGAACGGGGAUCAGCCCAUUAAGUUAUGUGUGUUUUAGUGGAACGCUCUGGGAAGUGCGAACGUAGAGGGUGAUAUUCCCGUACACGAAAGGGCACACAUAAUGAUGACGAGUAGGGCGAGGCACGUGAAACCUUGUCUGAAUAUGGGGGGACCAUCCUCCAAGGCUAAAUACUCCUGACUGACCGAUAGUGAACCAGUACCGUGAGGGAAAGGCGAAAAGAACCCCUGUGAGGGGAGUGAAAUAGAUCCUGAAACCGCAUGCAUACAAGCAGUGGGAGCACCUUCGUGGUGUGACUGCGUACCUUUUGUAUAAUGGGUCAGCGACUUAUAUUCAGUAGCGAGGUUAACCGUAUAGGGGAGCCGUAGAGAAAUCGAGUCUUAAUAGGGCGUUUAGUUGCUGGGUAUAGACCCGAAACCAGGCGAUCUAUCCAUGAGCAGGUUGAAGGUUGGGUAACACUAACUGGAGGACCGAACCCACUGUCGUUGAAAAGCCAGGGGAUGACUUGUGGAUAGGGGUGAAAGGCUAAUCAAGCCUGGUGAUAGCUGGUUCUCCCCGAAAGCUAUUUAGGUAGCGCCUCGGACGAAUACCAUAGGGGGUAGAGCACUGUUUCGGCUAGGGGGUCAUCCCGACUUACCAAACCGAUGCAAACUCCGAAUACCUAUGAGUACUAUCCGGGAGACAGACUGCGGGUGCUAACGUCCGUAGUCAAGAGGAAAACAAUCCAGACCGCCAGCUAAGGCCCCAAAAUCAUAGUUAAGUGGGAAACGAUGUGGGAAGGCAUAGACAGCUAGGAGGUUGGCUUAGAAGCAGCCACCCUUUAAAGAAAGCGUAAUAGCUCACUAGUCGAGUCGGCCUGCGCGGAAGAUGUAACGGGGGCUAAAACUAUGUGCCGAAGCUGCGGGAUGUAUACUUUGUAUACGUGGUAGGGGAGCGUCUGUAAGCCGAUGAAGGUGUGUUGAGAGCAUGCUGGAGUAUCAGAGUGCGUAUGCCUGAACGUUGAGUUACGACAAAACGG